rnacentral:rRNA from 1 species
GACGAACGCUGGCGGCGUGCUUAACACAUGCAAGUCGAACGGAAAGGCCCUGCUUUUGUGGGGUGCUCGAGUGGCGAACGGGUAAGUAACACGUGAGUAACCUGCCCUUGACUUUGGGAUAACUUCAGGAAACUGGGGCUAAUACCGGAUAGGAGCUCCUGCUGCAUGGUGGGGGUUGGAAAGUUUCGGCGGUUGGGGAUGAACUCGCGGCUUAUCAGCUUGUUGGUGGGGUAGUGGCUUACCAAGGCUUUGACGGGUAGCCGGCCUGAGAGGGUGACCGGCCACAUUGGGACUGAGAUACGGCCCAGACUCCUACGGGAGGCAGCAGUGGGGAAUAUUGCACAAUGGGCGGAAGCCUGAUGCAGCAACGCCGCGUGCGGGAUGAAGGCCUUCGGGUUGUAAACCGCUUUCGCCUGUGACGAAGCGUGAGUGACGGUAAUGGGUAAAGAAGCACCGGCUAACUACGUG